rnacentral:lncRNA from 1 species
CGAGGUGCCCCCCCCCCCCGUUUCCUGGCCCUGCCACUUCCUGGUACCUCCCCAACAGCAGAAGCACACUCAGGCUUUAUCGUCUACACCCACAGAAGACACCACUGGUCACCAAAGCACAGUUCCCCCUCGCCCUGUGGAAAGCCCAGGUUUGACCCGUGUGAGGUCAAACUGGAGAGAAGGAACCCCUUCCUACUCCCCAGUGGGCAAAUCUUAAGGUCUUCGCCAAUCAAGGACAUUUCUAACCGUAAGAUUUGAUGGAAGUCUAUGGAAAGCUUCAGGGAAAAUUUUCUUCCCUCUUGAAACAGAAUAGAGGGAAAGAAAUUGACCUCUUGUGUUCUGACCUGUGGAUGCUGCUGUAAGAGCACAGUGUCUGGAGAUGUGGCAGCCAUCUUGGGUCCAUGAGAGAGACUGUGCCAUCACAAGAAAAGAUGGAAAGAACCUAGAUGUUUGACACUUGCUGGUGAGUUGCUGAAUUGAUCAGCCAACCCUAGGACUGCUCUACUUCAAGGCAUUGAUGAAGCCACACUGGGUGUGGUCAUCAUUUCUUAGUGGCAAAGCCGUCUUGUGGGAUGCAUCCUGCAUAGGGUGAACUAGGCAGAAGCAUGCCUCCUGGCUGGAACUCCUCAGCAUCCCUCCAGACCCCUGGGAGGUACUUAGCUGACAUCCUCUUGAGCAAUCCUACAAGCACCUCAAAAACAUCUCGGAACUUGAACCAAUACCUGCCUAACUCCCCGGAAGAACUUGUCCUUCACGGGUGAAUGGAGUAAGGCCAAGUUCCAACCCUGUGAAGCUUCCAUAGCAAACACACAACCAUGCAGGAGGCCCAUGCCACGGCCCGGGGUGGGGGGACUGGGGAGGUGCCACGGAGAAGGGAUAAUUCAGCUGUGAUUUCAAUACUGAAGAGAAUUUUUUGAGAUUCAAAUUCUCAGCUCUGAAAAGGAAAGAAGAGCUUUCCAGCCAGAGGAAACGGCAAGUGCAAAGGCCCUGGGGUUGGGCUGAAUCUGUGAUUUUCCAGGAGCAGCAAGGAGCCGGGGAGGAGGUAGCAGUGAAAGAAGAGCCGAGGAGGGGGAAGUCGGAAGGGCCUGUGGGGAGGGCGCAGGGUCCUCCUCGGAACUGUCCGGUUGUAUCCAAAGUGCAG